rnacentral:rRNA from 1 species
CCUACGUGAGGCAGCAGUGGGGAAUAUUGCACAAUGGGGGAAACCCUGAUGCAGCGACGCCGCGUGAGCGAAGAAGUAUUUCGGUAUGUAAAGCUCGAUCAGCAGGGAAGAAAAUGACGGUACCUGAGUAAGAAGCUCCGGCUAAAGACGUGCCAGCAGCCGCGGUAAUACGUAUGGAGCAAGCGUGAUCCGGAUUUACUGGGCGUAAAGGGAGCGUAGGCGGCCUGCCAAGUCUGAUGUGAAAUACCGGGGCUCAACCCCGGGGCUGCAUUGGAAACUGGCAGGCUGGAUUGCCGGAGAGGCAGGCGUAAUUCCUAGUGUAGCGGUGAAAUGCGUAGAUAUUAGGAGGUACACCAGUGGCGAAGGCGGCCUGCUGGACGGUGACUGCCUCUGAGGCUCGACCGCGUGGGGAGCACACAGGAUUAGCUACCCUUGUAGUC